rnacentral:tRNA from 1 species
GAGGUUAUAGCUCAGUGGUAGAGUGCAUGCCUAGCAUGCAUGAGGUCCUGGGUUCAGUCAUCAGUACCUCCA